GAGCUACAGCUGCUGGCCUAUACCACAGCCACAUCAAUGCCAGAUCUGAGCCACAUCUGCAACCUACACUACAGCUCAUGGCAACUGCCUGAUCCUUAACCCAUUGAGCAAGGCCAGGGAUUGAACCCACAACCUCAUGGAUCCUAGUUGGAUUUGUUUCCGCCCUGCCACAGUGGGAAGUCCCACAAUCAACUGCUCUUAAACUCUGUUCUACUUGCCUCUCUUUGGGAUGCUGCCUGGCUCACAGUGGUCUACUCUAAUCUCCAGAUCUUAGUUAGUUUCCAUAAUGUCAGUGUUCUGUUUUUAGUGUUUUGUUAUAAGCCAGUGCAGCAUAAUGAAAGCUAUGCUCUAAAAUAUUUAUUCCCAGCUCCUCUGAUUCAUUUGGUGCAAAGAACAAGAUCACGUAUCACUGUGUGGGUUAUAUCACAGUUCCUUAUGCCAAAGCAACAGGAAAUGUGUUUUAUUUUUCAAUUGUAGAAAAUGUUGAGAAGAUAAAAAAAAUUUUUUCCCAGCUGGUUUUCUUUGUAACAUCCAUGGCUUGAGAUUUGAAAGGUCGUCUCAUUGCACAGUUGGUACAGGCACCUGAAAAUGCAGGUGGUCAUUUCUUUCAGGUGUCUCAUAGAGUCCAGCUCAUCUCUUUGAGUGAGUUUUUUUUUUCUCUCAAAACAAUACAAUUGAAGGAGUUUCUUUUUUCUUUUCUUUCUUUCUUUUUUCUUUUUCUUUUUUUUCUUUUUUUCUUUAUGCUUUUUAGGGCCACACCUGCAGCACAUGAAGAUUCCCAGGCUAGGGGCUGAAUCAGAGCUGCAGUUGCUGCCCUAUGCCACAGCCACAGCAACAUGGGAUCUGAGCCAAGUCUGCAACCUACCUCACAGCUCACAGAAACACCAGAUUCCCGACCCACUGAGUAAGGCCAGGGAUGGAACGUGCAUCCUCAUGGUUACUAGUUGGGUUCAUUUCCGUCACACCACAAUGGGAACUCCUCCAAUUUGUUAUUACAGUUAAUAGAGAAGUGAAGAGUAGAUGGGAAAGAUGGGAGAGAGAGGUAAAGAAUUUACAACUUUUCCAAAUCUUAGAAAUUUUCUUGUUUAAAACAAACAGACUGUAUGUAUCAGGGCAGAUUUCUGUACUAGUUUUCCAGGAGACGUGUACACCUUGCUCUGACUUAUUUGAUGAGUAUCUGCUUAUAUAGCUCAUGUUUAUAUCUGACACAAUAAAGAAUGGAUGGUAGGCUUGGGUGGAUAGAAAAUAAAUCCCCAAGGUUUUUUGUGUAUUGCCAUGUUAUGUGUCUCUCUGUUUAUAAAGGAUUUUGGCUUUUGAUUGUCAGGGUGGUAGGGUGGGAUCCUGGUUCAACCAUUAUAAAAGGAUAUUUAAGCUGUCAUCCAGAUAGGCUUUAGCUAGCUGUUUAAAGAUCUCAUCAAGUGUGAAUGUUCCUCUCAUCUUUCUUCUCUGACGUCUUCAGGUUGUCUUCCGUGGUCUCAAGAUAGCUGUCAAAGUUACAGCAAUCUUACUCAAAAUAGACAUGUUGGAUUUUAUUAGCAAGCACACCUUUCCCAGAAGUACCCUCAUUUUCCAUUGGCCAUACUGGGUCAUGUGGCCACUCUAAAUAGCUCAUUAUCAAGGGCUAUGAUUACCAUUACUAAGACAAAUCAAGAUUUACUUUAAGGUGGCUAUAGGGUCACUUUACCAUGAGUCUUGUGGAGGAGGGGUAGUGGCUGCCUGAAAACAUUGGGAUUCUGGGAAUUCCCAUCGUGGAGCAGUGGAAAUGAAUCCGACUGGGAACCGUGAGGUUGCGGUUUGAUCCCUGGCCUCGCUCAGUGGGUUAAGGAUCCGGAGUUGCUGUGAACUGUGAUAUA
ensembl:lncRNA